AAUGAACGUUGGCGGCAGGCCUAACACAUGCAAGUCGAUCGCUGUCUUCGGACAGAGAGGCGCACGGGUGAGUAACACGUGGGAACAUACCCUUGAGUGCGGAAUAACUAUUGGAAACGAUAGCUAAUACCGCAUACGCCCUACGGGGGAAAGAUUUAUCGCUCAAGGAUUGGCCCGCGUCCGAUUAGCUAGUUGGCGGGGUAACGGCCCACCAAGGCGACGAGCGGUAGCUGGUUUGAGAGAAUGAUCAGCCACACUGGGACUGAGACACGGCCCAGACUCCUACGGGAGGCAGCAGUGGGGAAUAUUGGACAAUGGGCGCAAGCCUGAUCCAGCCAUGCCGCGUGAGUGAAGAAGGCCUUCGGGUUGUAAAGCUCUUUCAGACGUGACGAUGAUGACGGUAGCGUCAGAAGAAGCCCCGGCUAACUUCGUGCCAGCCGCCGCCGUAACAC
rnacentral:rRNA from 1 species